GAGUGGCCAAUUCCACGUGUAGCGGUGAAAUGCGCUAGAGAUGUGGCCAGGCAACACCAGUGGCGAAGGCGACUCUCUGGUCUGUAACUGACGCUGAGGAGCGAAAGCGUGGGGCAUGUGAACAGGAUUAGAUACCCUGGUAGUCCACGCCGUAAACGAUGAGUGCUAAGUGUUAGGNNGUUUCCGCCCCUUAGNGCUGCA
rnacentral:rRNA from 1 species